UGGGCAGUACUGGACUUGAACCAGUGACCCUCUGCUUGUAAGGCAGACGCUCUACCACUGAGCUAACUGCCC
rnacentral:tRNA from 1 species